rnacentral:rRNA from 1 species
UCGGGAAUUUUGGGGCAAUGGGGGCAACCCUGAUCCAGCCAUUCCGCGUGAGUGAAGAAGGCCUUCGGGUUGUAAAGCUCUUUCAGCAGGAACGAAACGGUCGGCUUUAAUAAAGUCGGCUAAUGACGGUACCUGCAGAAGAAGCACCGGCUAACUACGUGCCAGCAGCCGCGGUAAUACGUAGGGUGCGAGCGUUAAUCGGAAUUACUGGGCGUAAAGCGUGCGCAGGCGGCGACAUAAGACAGAUGUGAAAUCCCCGGGCUCAACCUGGGAACUGCGUUUGUGACUGUGUUGCUAGAGUGUAGCAGAGGGGGGUGGAAUUCCACGUGUAGCAGUGAAAUGCGUAGAGAUGUGGAGGAACACCGAUGGCGAAGGCAGCCCCCUGGGUUAACACUGACGCUCAUGCACGAAAGCGUGGGGAGCAAACAGGAUUAGAUACCCACGUAGUCCCUGAGCGGGCUGGCAAGGCGCAU